GUGCCAGCCGCCGCGGUACUACCGGCAGCCCGAGUGAUGGCCGAUCUUAUUGGGCCUAAAGCGUCCGUAGCUGGCCGCGCAAGUCCAUCGGAAAAUCCACCCGCCCAACGGGUGGGCGUCCGGUGGAAACUGCGUGGCUUGGGACCGGAAGGCGCGAAGGGUACGUGCGGGGUAGGAGUGAAAUCCCAUAAUCCCGCACGGACCACCGAUGGCGAAAGCACUUCGAGAAAACGGAUCCGACAGUGAGGGACGAAAGCCGGGGUCUCCAACCGGAUUAGAAACCCGGGUAUCC
rnacentral:rRNA from 1 species